GUGAUUAGCAGGGCAGCACAGAGUUUGGUGAAAUAUAAUCGUAGGAGCCGACAGAAAACCUAGUCGAUCACACACAGCGCGGAGAGAGAAAAGAGAAAGCAAUCAUGGCGGACGAAAGUCUCAAUGAUGUAAAGGACGAGAUGACAGAGUUUGUCCCCUUUGAUAACACAAAAAAGAAGAAAAAGAAGAAGGUUGUAAUUCAAGAUCCGGCAGAUGACUCUGUUGAUAGCUUGGCUGAAAAAACUGAGAAUUUAUCUGUUUCUGAGGGCCUUGAGGCUACGUUUUCUGGUAAAAAGAAAAAGAAGAAGCCGGGACACUCUGAUCUCCUGAGUGAUGAAAAAGAAAGUAUCGGUGAGGAUGUAGAUGAUCAACCCGGAGAUGAUGAAGAAGCUGGAGAAAUUGUCCUACAACAGUUACCUUGGGAGGGAACUGAUCGAGAUUAUGAAUAUGAGGAGCUUCUGGGCAGAGUAUUCAAUAUUCUCCGUGAGAACAAUCCCGAGCUUGCUGGAGAUAGGCGAAGGACUGUUAUGAGGCCCCCUCAAGUUCUUCGUGAAGGCACAAAGAAAACUGUGUUUGUGAAUUUCAUGGAUCUUUGCAAGACGAUGCAUAGGCAGCCUGAGCAUGUUAUGACUUUCUUGCUGGCUGAAAUGGGGACUAGUGGAUCACUUGACGGGCAGCAAAGAUUGGUCAUCAAGGGAAGAUUUGCUCCUAAGAAUUUUGAAGGAAUCCUCCGCCGAUAUGUCAAUGAGUAUGUCAUUUGCAAUGGCUGUAAAAGUCCAGAUACUAUCCUUUCAAAAGAGAACCGUCUUUUCUUCCUCCGAUGCGAGAAGUGUGGCUCUGGAAGAUCAGUUGCUCCUAUCAAGGCUGGUUUCGUUGCUCGUGUUGGACGUCGGAAAGCUGGGACCUGAUACAUACGGCUUGGGGAUUGAAUAUCUUGUCAUAAUAGAGUACGUUGGAGUUUUGUAUGUUUUGCUUUGUGUUUAACCUGAGGAGACAUAUUGAAGUUUGGUGCGACUUUGCUUAUGAAGAAAGUUGGUUUAGAUUUACUUUGUUGGGAUAUGUUAUCUUGUUUAUUUCUAUAAAAUGUGGCUUAUACUUGUUUUCCUCUUAUAUUCAACUGCUAAUCUUGUUGCACAUGC
rnacentral:misc_RNA from 1 species